rnacentral:rRNA from 1 species
GCUCAGGAUGAACGCUGGCGGCGUGCCUAAUACAUGCAAGUCGAACGCGAGCAGCAAUGCUCGAGUGGCGAACGGGUGAGUAAUACAUAAGUAACCUGCCCUAGACAGGGGGAUAACUGCUGGAAACGGCAGCUAAGACCGCAUAGGUAUGGACACUGCAUGGUGACCAUAUUAAAAGUGCCAAGGCACUGGUAGAGGAUGGACUUAUGGCGCAUUAGCUGGUUGGUGAGGUAACGGCUCACCAAGGCGACGAUGCGUAGCCGACCUGAGAGGGUGACCGGCCACACUGGGACUGAGACACGGCCCAGACUCCUACGGGAGGCAGCAGUA